AACGAACGCUGGCGGCAUGCCUAACACAUGCAAGUCGAACGAGACCUUCGGGUCUAGUGGCGCACGGGUGCGUAACGCGUGGGAACCUGCCCUUAGGUUCGGAAUAACUCCCCGAAAGGGGUGCUAAUACCGGAUAAUGUCUUCGGACCAAAGAUUUAUCGCCUUUGGAUGGGCCCGCGUUGGAUUAGCUAGUUGGUAGGGUAAAAGCCUACCAAGGCGACGAUCCAUAGCUGGUCUGAGAGGAUGGUCAGCCACACUGGGACUGAGACCCGGCCCAGACUCCUACGGGAGGCAGCAGUGGGGAAUAUUGGACAAUGGGCGAAAGCCUGAUCCAGCAAUGCCGCGUGAGUGAUGAAGGCCUUAGGGUUGUAAAGCUCUUUUACCCGGGAUGAUAAUGACAGUACCGGGAGAAUAAGCUCCGGCUAACUCCGUG
rnacentral:rRNA from 1 species